CAGGUAAAGGCCAAAAAAAUUAGUCCAUGGAAAUAACUGUUUUUCUCUUUCUCUGAGGAAAAACAUGAGUGCAUAUAACAUUUAAAUUCAGCAUAUUAUUAUUGUUUGCCAGGGAUGUAUCAUUUCCCCUUAGGAGUUGGCCCAGAACUGGAUAAUCCUGCAGAAUGAUCAAAAAUUGAGAAUGUUAGUUCUGAAGACUUAGGACACCAAGUCACAGGAUUGCCAUCUCUUCUUGUCCUUGGGAACUCACGGGGCUGCCAGCCCAGCUCUUCCUCUCAAGUGGGGUUGCGUCUCCAGGGUGGCUUCUGUAGGUUGUCCCUCUUCUAUUGGUUUUAUUUAGAAACACGUCCAGUGGCUUCACCCUCCUCAUCCUGGUGCACUGGGCUGGAUUAACACCUGCACUAUUUUGGUCAAGAUAAGUACCCUUGCUCAUCUCUGUCUACAGUUCCAUGCUAGAUGGGGCCUUUCAAGUUGCUCUGGCAGAACUUGGUAGGAAGCAAAUAUUCUUUCAGUGAAUUAAGCAAUGAACGACUAAUUUGAUAUGUUAAGUCUCAGUGAGGGGAAACCAGAGCUCUGGGAUACCCACAGUUCUUGAUGAGCAAACAGAAGUGUUCCCAUUUGAAGCUUGCUGAUUGUGUAACAGCUACUAACUAAAUGUAAAGGUCAUCUCCCCUUUUGCCCUAACAUUAUGAUCAAAAACAUGCACCCAUGCUUUUAAAAAUAACUCCUCUGGCACUGAGAGGGGCAGAAGAGAGAAAAAAGAAAUGAAAGUAGAGUCAUGAGUUUCACUACCCUUCCUGCCAAUAUAUACAAACUCACAUCCAAAACAUUUCUCAUUUACAUGCCUGUUUAUUUUGUUUUUGUGGCUGUCUAGAAGCUGGGACCUUUCUGUUUUUUUGCUAAAUUGAGACAAAGAGAUAUUAGGAUAAACUCCACCCCUAUUUAGCUGUGUUCAUCCUCACAAUGACUUGGUCUUUCUGUCACCACCUGGACAGAUGUUUGGAUCAUCAUGAUACUCAGUGCAUUUGUGGGUGAAUCACUGGAAAUUUGGAAGGAAUGUUGCAAUUUUUUUCAUUUUCAAAUUUCAGAGUUUUGCUCUAGGAAUUGCUAACUUUACCUAGUUUUAAGAUUUAAAGUCAAUUGUUCUACUGUCUUAUAGACCACAGAUGUGAUGUGAACACUGCUCUGGAGUUCUUGGCUGAUUUGUGUGCUGUAUAAUUCACUCUUCCCCAAGGGCUUUCGUCUGGGUCCAAGGCUCCUGCUGUCCUCACAAUAUUCUGCCAUUGUGUGCUCUCAGUCAGUACAAUACCCUCCUUGGCCUUUACUGCCCUUAAAACAGACUGAUGCAAAUUGUCUGAACCUCAAGACCUGCCCACUUCUGAUCUAUCUAAUGCCAUCUUUUGUGACUUUCUCCUUUAAACUGCAGGAUCUAACUUUGAUUUUAAUUUCUCAGGUUGCCCUAAGCCCUCUGUGCUUUCCUUCUGACUAUUUCACCCUUUGGAAUGAACCAUACCUCGCUCCCUGCUUCUUCCUCAUUCUUGACACAGCUACUCCCACGCAUCCAUCGGGCUCCCUUGGGGAACUGCGGGCCCUGCCUCCCCCAUGUAGAUCAGGAGCCCUUGAGGAUGUUUUCCCUCUUGACAGGUUGAUCCCGCUGUGGUAACCAUUAGCAUGAGCAUUUAAUUGCUCAAACCAGGACACUGUUCGGAAAGGGGGAAACUAUCAAUAAUUACUCUGGGACAACACCCAUAAAUCAAGACUGUCCAGGGAAAACUGGUCUGUCUUGUCAGUGUUUCUAGAAUUUCCUGUUGAAUUGCAUUCUUCCUUCACUGUCUAUAGCUUACAGGGAAAGGAGAACCCAAUUGGAUUUUGUUUUCUGCUUAUUUUCUAAUUUACUUUUUCUUGGUGCCUAAUGCAUGAUUGGAGCUCAAAAAUAGUAACCAAUGUUCAAAACAGCAAUUGUCUGUAGAAAUACGAAAAUGGCUAUACAUAAAAGCAAAUCUUGAUUAAAAAUUAUAAUAGCAAAAUAAAAAAAAUAGUAUGCAUAUGUGCCUACUGUCUGUCCGGCAGUGAGCUAGUUACCCUAAGUUGAG
rnacentral:lncRNA from 1 species